rnacentral:lncRNA from 1 species
UUGCUUCACUUGAUUUUGUUCAAGGGGUUCAUUUAUGUCACAGAUGCGAGUGACCUAUUCUGAACCAACAUCAAAGUGCGAAACACUGGUGAACCCACAAGAAGAUCUGUGGAAUGAUUAAUAGAUAGUUGCACUACUUUGAUUGUUUCAAGUGGUUUCAAAAGGUGAACACCACGAGAUAUAAAGAAAAGAUUCCAAGUCAGAUUUCAUGUUUUUUUACUGAAAUUGUUAAGGGUUUUAUUAACUGUAUGAAUUUUUUUAAGGGUCCUAAGAUUGAGAAGAGUGGCGAUGGUGGUGGGAUGAGGGUAAAGUUUCAAUGGAUCUGAAUAUAAAGUUAUUUUGUGACGCAGUUACCGAACUGAAACAUUGGAUCUGCAAACCAAAAACUUGAUAGAGAUUUUUUGUUUUUUGUUUUUUUGGAUAAAAUCUUGAUUUUGCAUUUAGAAAUUAGUUUGACUAUACAAGAUCAAAAUUGCAUUUCUUAUGCUUUUGCAAAUACACCCUUGGUGCAACAUGUAGAACUAUGAAUAACAGUAGCCUAAUAGUUGUGGUUUUGAAACCUAAGAUUUUUUUAUAUAUAAGCUACCGUUCUAGGUAUAAAUUUCAGUUAGGGUGAAGAUUGUUCAUUCAGUUAGUUUAUGGUUUGGUUAGUUAACCAUGCUUGGUGAAGUUUAUUAGUGCAUUUGAAAGUAAAACUUUUGUUGUCUGUUAUGUUAAUGUUGUUUGAGUUUGUACAUAUAUAUUUUUUUAAAUUAAUCUCAAGACCAUUGCUGAGUUCUUAGCCGAUGAGCUUAUCAACGCUGCCAAAGGGCUCUUCAAACAGGUUAUAAGUGUUCAAAAUAGUGAAAUGUGGGGCGUCUUUAUUGUAUGCGGCUCAAUUUAUUAAAUAGUCGUUUUCCACUUGAGGCUGAAGGAGAAGAACCUAGAACUGUUUCUUCAGUGGAGUGACGAUGACAAAAGACUUAGCAAUAAUUUUUAAUGCUUUCUUUUUCUAUACAAGUAUACAACGGCGUUGGUUUUUUCAUAUGAAUACAAAGAAUAAAUUAAAGAUUACUGAUUU